rnacentral:rRNA from 1 species
UACGUAGGGUGCAAGCGUUGUCCGGAAUUAUUGGGCGUAAAGAGCUCGUAGGCGGCCUGUCGCGUCGGAUGUGAAAGCCCGGGGCUCAACCCCGGGUCUGCAUUCGAUACGGGCAGGCUAGAGUGUGGUAGGGGAGAUCGGAAUUCCUGGUGUAGCGGUGAAAUGCGCAGAUAUCAGGAGGAACACCGGUGGCGAAGGCGGAUCUCUGGGCCAUUACUGACGCUGAGGAGCGAAAGCGUGGGGAGCGAACAGG